CACGUAGGAGGCAAGCGUUGUCCGGAUUCAUUGGGCGUAAAGAGCUCGUAGGCGGUUCGAUAAGUCGGGUGUGAAACCUCCAGGCUCAACCUGGAGACGCCACCCGAUACUGUCGUGACUAGAGUCCAGUAGGGGAGCGUGGAAUUCCUGGUGUAGCGGUGAAAUGCGCAGAUAUCAGGAGGAACACCAGCGGCGAAGGCGGCGCUCUGGGCUGGAACUGACGCUGAGGAGCGAAAGCGUGGGGAGCGAACAGG
rnacentral:rRNA from 1 species